rnacentral:lncRNA from 1 species
UUGAAGUUCAGUUGAUUCAUUUUCCGGUGGUGGUGGAGGAGGAUUUGGUGAGGCGGCGCGGCAACGAAGACGACGGAGGGAAGUGGAGGAAGAAGAGAGCGGUUGAAAUGAACGAUUAGAAGAGGUUGAGAGAGAAAGUGAAGAAGAUGGAGAAGGAGAAGGAGAAGGAGAAGGAGAAGGAGAGAGAGUGGUGAAAGAGGUGAAGAGUCGUUGUGGAAGAUUUACAAGUUCCAUUUCGAGGCAUUUCAGGUUGAAACACCAAAAUGAAGGGAUGACACAGAUUCUCUUUGGUUUAU